AGUGAACGCUGGCGGCAUGCCUAACACAUGCAAGUCGAACGGCAGCACAGUACUAGCUUGCUCUUACGGUUGGCGAGUGGCGGACGGUUGAGGAAUACAUCGCAUUCUACUUUUUCGUGGGGGUUAACGUAGGGAAACUUACGCUAAUACCGCAUACGACCUACGGGUGAAUUCAUGGGAUCUUCUGACCUUGCGCGAUUGAUUGAGCCGAUGUCGGUUUAGCUAGUUGGCGGGGUAAAGGCCCACCAAGGCGACGAUCCGUAGCUGGUCUGAGAGGAUGAUAGGCCACACUGGAACUGGGACACGGUCAAGACUCCUACGGGAGGCAGCAGUGGGGAAUAUUGGACAAUGGGCGCAAGCAUGAUCCAGCCAGACCGCGUGGGUGAAGAAGGCCUUCGGGUUGUAAAGCCCUUUUGUUGGGAAAGAAAAGCAGCAGGUUAAUACCCAGCUGUUGUGACGGUACCCAAAGAAUAAGCACCGGCUAACUACGUG
rnacentral:rRNA from 1 species